UCUGUGGCCUUCUCGGACCCCCUCUUGCUGGACCCUUCCACUUGGAAUUCCUUUGUCUCAGGCAGUGCCUCUUUUCUAACCAGCCACCUACAAUCCCUCUCUGCUUCUCUACCCAGUAGAAUCGCCAACCACUUUUUGCCGAGGACACCUCAUUGACGACAGGAAGUCCUUUAGCUUCAAAAGAUACCUAUCAAAGAUGCCUGUGAAGCUCCCACAUGGCUAGGGUGUGGGGAGGGAGGGAGUGUCAGGAAGAAUUCACAGCUCAAGUGAAUUCCUGAGAGCUUUCAAAGGAAGUCAUGGAAUCUUAGCCUGUGGUGAUAACAACUGCUCACAUUCCUUCCUGAAGACUCGACUUUCCUGUAACCUUACAGUUUGAGCAUAGCCAUCAAAGAAGGAAUGAACGCCUUUUCCAAGGCAUUCUGUUUGCAGGCUCGAGGCUGUUCAUCAAUCAUAUAAGAGGGUGGUAUUUUCUGGUCAACUAAAGUGACUCAUCCAGCCAGAGGGUGGGCUAUUGAGGACACAUGACACCUUCCAGUUCAACAGGCUCUUCGGCUGAACACCUGUGUAGUCACUGUGUCAUAAAUCUCUCCCUAACCCUUUUGUAAUGAGACCCUGUUUACCCAAUCCUGAAUCUUACCAUACAGUAAGAAAUUAUUUCAAAAUUUACUGCAGGAAACCUCAGUUUUUGGAAAGUAUAAAUUUACAUAAAAUUCAAAAGCAGGUCUUUAAAAGUAAAGCAAGCCAUGUGGAAAAGGACUGGGACGGAGAAGAGUGUGACUCUUACAAUCAGUAAUUUUUCUUAAAUAAGCAAUCAAGCAGUUCUCCAAAAAUAUAUGUGUUAGGGUAUUGAGUGCAGGAAAUUGAAUAUUAGAAAAAUAUUCAAAACAAUUAAUUAUCCAACAAUUAGAGGAUUUUGGAAAUAAACUAUGGAACAUCCACAC
ensembl:lncRNA